rnacentral:misc_RNA from 1 species
AUUCCUUUGAAGAUGUUCUUAAUCUCUAUGAAGGGAGCAUUAGACUUCCAAGUGCGAUCACGACCAAAAAAUUAAGGAAUUGCAUCCCAGGGGAGAUGUUCAAGGAACUCGUGCGUAACGAUGGUGAACGAUUCCUCAAAUUCCCAAAGCCUGACGUGAUCAAAGAGGAUAAGUCUGCUUGGAGGACAGAUGAAGAGUUUGGACGAGAAAUGCUUGCUGGAGUCAACCCAGUCAUCAUCAGUCGCCUUCGAGAGUUUCCUCCUACCAGCAAGCUAGACACUAGAGAAUUUGGGAACCAUACCAGUACAAUAACAAAAGAGCAAAUAGAAGAGAACAUGAAUGGGCUCAAAGUAGAUCAAGCAAUCAGAAGUAACAGACUGUUUAUAUUAGAUCAUCAUGAUGCAUUGAUGCCAUACUUGACAAAAAUAAACUCAACAACCA